rnacentral:rRNA from 1 species
UCCGAGUUGUAAUUUGUAGAGGAUGUUUCGGGUACCGCCUCGGUUUAAAUUUCUUGGAACAGAAUGUCAGAGAGGGUGAGAAUCCCGUCUUGGACCGGCGGUAGGGCCCAUGUGAAACUCCUUCGACGAGUCGAGUUGUUUGGGAAUGCAGCUCAAAAUGGGUGGUAUAUUUCAUCUAAAGCUAAAUAUUGGCCAGAGACCGAUAGCGCACAAGUAGAGUGAUCGAAAGAUGAAAAGCACUUUGAAAAGAGAGUUAAACAGUAUGUGAAAUUGUUGAAAGGGAAGCGCUUGCAACCAGACUUGAGCGCGGCGGUUCCCCCUUCCUUCUGGUUGGGUUACUCCGCCGUGUCCAGGCCAACAUCGGUUCUGGGGGUCGGUCAAAGGCCCGGGGAAUGUAUCUACGCCUUCGGGCGUAGACUUAUAGCCCCGGGUGUCAUGCGACCUCCCGGGACCGAGGAACGCGCUUCGGCUCGGAUGUUGGCGUAAUGGUUGUAAGCGACCCGUCUUGAAACACGGACCA